GAUGAACGCUGGCGGCGUGCCUAAUACAUGCAAGUCGAGCGAACAGACGAGGAGCUUGCUCCUCUGACGUUAGCGGCGGACGGGUGAGUAACACGUGGAUAACCUACCUAUAAGACUGGGAUAACUUCGGGAAACCGGAGCUAAUACCGGAUAAUAUAUUGAACCGCAUGGUUCAAUAGUGAAAGACGGUUUUGCUGUCACUUAUAGAUGGAUCCGCGCCGCAUUAGCUAGUUGGUAAGGUAACGGCUUACCAAGGCAACGAUGCGUAGCCGACCUGAGAGGGUGAUCGGCCACACUGGAACUGAGACACGGUCCAGACUCCUACGGGAGGCAGCAGUAGGGAAUCUGCCGCAAUGGGCGAAAGCCUGACGGAGCAACGCCGCGUGAGUGAUGAAGGUCUUCGGAUCGUAAAACUCUGUUAUUAGGGAAGAACAAAUGUGUAAGUAACUAUGCACGUCUUGACGGUACCUGAUCAGAAAGCCACGGCUAACUACGUG
rnacentral:rRNA from 1 species